rnacentral:rRNA from 1 species
CAGUCCACGCAGUAAACGAUGAGUGCUAGUUGUCGGGAUUUUUCUCGGUGGCGAAGCUAGCGCGUUAAGCACUCCGCCUGGGGAGUACGGCCGCAAGGCUAAAACUCAAAGGAAUUGACGGGGACCCGCACAAGCAGUGGAGCAUGUGGUUUAAUUCGAUGAUACGCGAGAAACCUUACCAGCUCUUGAAUCCUGAUUACGAUUUUCAGAGAUGAAUUUUUCAGUUCGGCUGGUUGAGUGACAGGUGCUGCAUGGCUGUCGUCAGCUCGUGUCGUGAGAUGUUGGGUUAAGUCCCGCAACGAGCGCAACCCUCGCCCCUAGUUGCCAGCAUUCAGUUGGGCACUCUAGGGGAACCGCCGGUGAUAAGCCGGAGGAAGGUGGGGAUGACGUCAAGUCCUCAUGGCCCUUACGGGAUGGGCUACACACGUGCUACAAUGGCAUCUACAGUGGGUUAAUCCCCAAAAGAUGUCUCAGUUCGGAUUGUUCUCUGCAA